UACGGAGGGGGCUAGCGUUGUUCGGAAUUACUGGGCGUAAAGCGCACGUAGGCGGCUUUGUAAGUUAGAGGUGAAAGCCCAGGGCUCAACCCUGGAAUUGCCUUUAAGACUGCAUCGCUUGAACAUCGGAGAGGUAAGUGGAAUUCCGAGUGUAGAGGUGAAAUUCGUAGAUAUUCGGAAGAACACCAGUGGCGAAGGCGACUUACGGGACGAUUGUUGACGCUGAGGUGCGAAAGCGCGGGGAGCGAUCCGG
rnacentral:rRNA from 1 species